GCAUACGAAAAUAAACUGAGCAUUACA
rnacentral:sRNA from 1 species